UGGGCAACCUGCCCUCAGCUCUGGGAUAACUUCCAAGAAAUUGGGGCUAAUACCGGAUGUGACCGCUGACCGCAUGGUCUGGUGGUGGAAAGAUUUAUCGGCUGGGGAUGGGCCCGCGGCCUAUCAGCUUGUUGGUGGGGUAGCGGCCUACCAAGGCGACGACGGGUAGUCGGCCUGAGAGGGUGACCGGCCACACUGGAACUGAGAUACGGUCCAGACUCCUACGGGAG
rnacentral:rRNA from 1 species